rnacentral:rRNA from 1 species
UCCCUACGGGACGCAUCAGUGGGGGAUAUUGCACAAUUUAUUAAACUCUGAUGCAGCGACGCCGCGUGAGGGAAGACGGUCUUCGGAUUGUAAACCUCUGUCUUUGGGGAAGAAAAUGACGGUACCCAAAGAGGAAGCUCCGGCUAACUACGUGCCAGCAGCCGCGGUAAUACGUAGGGAGCGAGCGUUGUCCGGAAUUACUGGGUGUAAAGGGAGCGUAGGCGGGAUUGCAAGUUGGAUGUGAAAACUGCGGGCUCAACCCGGAGCGUGCAUUCAAAACUGCGAUUCUUGAGUGAAGUAGAGGG